rnacentral:rRNA from 1 species
GAUGAACGCUAGCUACAGGCUUAACACAUGCAAGUCGAGCGAUCUCUUCGGAGAGAGCGGCGGACGGGUGAGUAACGCGUGGGUAACCUGCCCUGUACACACGGAUAACAUACCGAAAGGUAUACUAAUACGGGAUAACAUAUGAAAGUCGCAUGGCUUUUGUAUCAAAGCUCCGGCGGUACAGGAUGGACCCGCGUCUGAUUAGCUAGUUGGUAAGGUAAUGGCUUACCAAGGCAACGAUCAGUAGCCGACCUGAGAGGGUGAUCGGCCACACUGGAACUGAGACACGGCCCAG